rnacentral:rRNA from 1 species
CACGAGACACGAGUAGGUAAAGGUCACAGGUGGUGUGCAGAGGGAGGGAAGCGCGCAUCCGGAGGCCAAAGUAGAAGGAGCGACGGGGAAAGGCUAAGUUUUGAGGUGGGGGAAGAGGGGAGAAGAGGAGAGGGGUUGGGGGUUUUGGGAUGGUACAGGAGGAGAUGGCUGCGGUACCGCAGCGGAACGAGGGUACUAGUUAAGCUGCUUGGUCUGGCACUCUCCCACGACUUGAUGCAAAAGGUCCGCCGGAGGCUGCUGCUCGAGAGGUAGAAGUUCCUCGACCAGUACUAUUAUGACCUGUUACCGUCCCCGGCGGGGUUCCUUCGCUAACUCCUUAACUCCCACCUUCUACAGCCCGUCGAACUUCCAAAGUCACGCGACGUGUAACGCCGGUCAUUUCCCUCAGACCCCCACACGUCCAUGGAGCAGCUCCUCGACGACCAUCUACACCUAGACCAGCUGUUCCUUCCAGGUAGAUAGAAGUCUUGGGAUUAGAUAACCAAAUCCUGGGACGCGUGUGUAAGUCAGAUCCAAAACAGUUUAACAUACUUCACGAUAAAAUGUACGACCUUAAUAACAAGUGUUCCCAACGAACUAGACAUGAGGGAGGUAGGCGCUUAUUCACUUGUAGAUGGAAAACAAGAUCAGUUUCAAAAUUUUAAAACUGGUUGAAAUAUCUUUUCUUAUCAUCGUACAUACUGUAGAUUAACUAUAUAAUACCUUCAUGUAAAGUUUUGCUUAGAUCGCUAUGAUUAAAUCACGGUAUUUACGACGAUGAAAAAAGAUAUUUCAACCAGUUUCAAAAUUUUGAAACUGAAUCCUGUUUUGGAUCUACAUGUGAAUAAACGCCUGCCUCCCUCAUUCAGAGUACUAUAGACUGACAAAAAACGAAAGAGACCCAAACCGUAUCUCCACGUAAUACUAUUAGGUCGAAAAACUUGGUCGAAAGCGGCGCCGAGGUUCGAGUCGUGUUGUGUCAGGUCGUUGGCAUUUGUCUCGGAUUCUAAUAGAUGCAGUCAUACUUGGUUACAUAGUAUUGGUGGUUAUAAAUAGAGUGUUUUAAUUUAAUACUAAAUAGUAUAAGACAACACGAUUGAGUACUAGUACGUCGAAAUAUACUUUACUUAGACAGAAAAAUUCCCUUCUUUAAUCAGCCCGAAUUAAUACUAUGACUUACACUUAUGGGAUGUAUUGUGGGCGUUUUUUUUUGGGAUGUAUUCGUAGCGACUAUAUUUAUUAAUUUAUCCGAUGAGAAACUCCCGUUUAAGAAAUAAAAUCCUAUCAAACCAACAAAUUAAUAACGUGUAUACAUACGUGAGGUUGAGACUCCUACGUAAACUAAGAAGAUAAGCCCAUCGGAUUAUAGAUUAAAAGUACACAGUCAAGGUAAAUUGGUUAUGAGAGAGCUCGUAAUACUUUUAGGACGAAGUAUAAUAUAGAUUAAGCUACCCAGAUGAAACACACAGAACCCCUCGGUAUAGAUUUAAGGUACGAGAGUCUCUUCUGUCUCGUCACAAUCCUUUGAAGACACCAUCUUGUGGAGAGAACAAACGUUGUAUGGUGUUACCCCCAUGACGGCUUAUAGAAGAACUAGUACCGCGAUUAGUUCUGUUUCGACUAGUGCUACCCAGAAGGGACAAUGUAAUACGGCGACUUAAUCCGUUAACACUUUACCAUCUCGAAAACGAACGUUUUCCUCGAAUACAACUGGGCCAUAGACGAAUACCUUGUGGUGAAGUACAACGACGACCAUUUCCCGUAAUACCACGAUACUUCUAAAAUGACCUGGUGUUACGUCUAAUGUUGUUCUACCAUUUACCGCACUGUGGAGAAUAACAACGAUGUCUACGGUUCAGUUACUUUACAUAGUUCGAGGAUCAAUUCCGACCACGGUUAGAGUUCCUUCGACGUCGUAUAUGUUGAGAGGUGCGCCUUUUUCACCAAAGUCUAAUGAAAGAGUUAACGUAUUACCUCCUGCAACUACGGUUGGCACUACAAGGAAAAAUACCCGGAUACGAAUUUGCCCUUUAGCACUGUAGUCCCGAAUAUAGUGCUCCCUCGUUGAGAAAUUUCUUGUUCCUAAUACAACAGCGUCGUUUUAACAUGUCAUUCCGUUACCACGAACUAGGACUACUACGUCAGAACAAGAGUCUGUCCUCGGAAACAACCGAAGUUGACCCACUACCUUUUUUCCGAAACGAUCUACGAUUAUCUACGUCUUUUUACGCCGGAGUGACCGGUUUUCGAACAGUGGCCGUCCCACUUCGAGCCUACGAUGACUUCCUGAUGCUCCCGCGUUCACUUGUCAAGAACCUACCUGAGUUCGACCUGGGUCACCUGUGACUAUAGCUCCGACGUAAUGCCCUUCGAUACUUCAGGGACUUCUGCAGAGCCUCGUACUUUCGGUUAACUGAUAAACCCACAACGUCCCUUCGUCAACUUCCGAACUUUGCCCCGUCCUCAAAGAGGAAAACGCGUUUCUGACAAAAGGAAAUCUUUCAUUUUUUGCUGUACAGACUACCUCAUAAUGGCACCGUACUGACAACUACGUACGUCAUCGUUAUGGGCCACCUUUGAGAGGUCAACGGUAGAUAGCACAUAAUGUCCGGGAACAGAGUCCAAAGACCCGGAAGAUGCUCCGAGUGAGCAGACGGAGAGACCCACGCCCCAGUUGACUUACUAGCGUCGGAGGCGUAAGCAGAACAACACCACAACGACUCAAGGGGGUGACGGAUCACAAAAAUGAUGAGUGCAACCAUGUUACGUAAAUGCUGCCUCUUCUUCCCCUACAAAACAACCAAAACAAGCAGGACACCCACGUCUUCUUCUCCUCUCGAUCGUCCUCGAACGACCGAUGCCAAACCGCCGACGAUACAGAACAAAAAGACUUGAGCCAACCAACGACACACUCCACCAAGCCUGGUUACAUUGCUACUAAAGUCUUUAGUCCCUCAUUUACCGUUUUUGAUGGAGAAAAAAAAUUGGGAUCCACUUUUGAUGGUGUAAAAAAAAGAAGACUUUACCUUG